rnacentral:rRNA from 1 species
CCUACGGGAGGCAGCAGUAGGGAAUCUUCCGCAAUGGACGAAAGUCUGACGGAGCAACGCCGCGUGAACGAUGAAGGCCUUCGGGUCGUAAAGUUCUGUUGUUAGGGAAGAACAAGUGCUAGUUAAAUAAGCUGGCACCUUGACGGUACCUAACCAGAAAGCCACGGCUAACUACGUGCCAGCAGCCGCGGUAAUACGUAGGUGGCAAGCGUUGUCCGGAAUUAUUGGGCGUAAAGCGCGCGCAGGCGGUUUCUUAAGUCUGAUGUGAAAGCCCCCGGCUCAACCGGGGAGGGUCAUUGGAAACUGGGAAACUUGAGUGCAGAAGAGGAAAGUGGAAUUCCAAGUGUAGCGGUGAAAUGCGUAGAGAUUUGGAGGAACACCAGUGGCGAAGGCGACUUUCUGGUCUGUAACUGACGCUGAGGCGCGAAAGCGUGGGGAGCAAACAGGAUUAGAUACCCUGGUAGUCCACGCUGUAAACGAUGAGUGCUAAGUGUUAGAGGGUUUCCGCCCUUUAGUGCUGAAGUUAACGCAUUAAGCACUCCGCCUGGGGAGUACGGUCGCAAGCUGAAACUCAAAGGAUUGACGGCUGNGNGNGCGAGACGACACGAGGGAGUAGG